AAGGACGUUUAUAUUCUUCUUAGUUCGUUUUAUUUAUGUGUUAGCUUUAAAGACAUUUUCUUUGACGGAAAGUGAAGUAACAAAAUAAUAGUCGAAUAGUUCUGCCGUGUCUCUAAUUUGUUGAUAUUUUCCAUGUACUUGAAACAUGUAUGGUACACCUCUUCUUUUUCCUUCUCUGAACAAUGGCUAGAAAAAAAACCCUACUUCUUUCUGUCAUUUACUGUGAGGCAUUACUGAAUCUGGGUGUAUUCAUGUAUGCUGCUACCUGUAUGUUUUCAAACAAUAAGAAUUUAUUGAAACUUAUAAGACAUUAUACUUUCUCUUCUCCAGUAUUGGAUUAUAGACUGCACUUAGUUUUCUGGAAUGAAGUACAGACAAAGCCAUAACGCGUGUACAACUACACAUUGUCCUAUAAUAUUGUCUGAUAAAAAACAGUGUAGAAAUAUUCUGACAGGGAAAUAGCAAAUGUAUUAAUUUAACUUACCUUGCAAUCUCUCUUAAUGGAGCCUUAUCACCAGUGUAAGAAAGAACGUCUGGGUGUGAAUACGUACACAGUAUAAGGUAAACUUUGGUGAAGUCGUCAAUUCUUUUGUCAUUUCUUCCCCCUUCACACCCAAAGUGUAGCACUUGACAUGGAAUCUUUCUUUCUUCAUAAAUCAGUCAUUCAUUUGGAAUUCUGCAUUGUUGUAUGUAGAAAAACGAUAUUUUC
rnacentral:lncRNA from 10 species